rnacentral:rRNA from 1 species
UACGAAGGGGGCUAGCGUUGCUCGGAAUUACUGGGCGUAAAGGGAGCGUAGGCGGAUAGUUUAGUCAGAGGUGAAAGCCCAGGGCUCAACCUUGGAAUUGCCUUUGAUACUGGCUAUCUUGAGUACGGAAGAGGUAUGUGGAACUCCGAGUGUAGAGGUGAAAUUCGUAGAUAUUCGGAAGAACACCAGUGGCGAAGGCGACAUACUGGUCCGUUACUGAACGCUGAG